rnacentral:rRNA from 1 species
UACAGAGGUCUCAAGCGUUGUUCGGAUUCAUUGGGCGUAAAGGGUGCGUAGGUGGCGCUUUAAGUCGGGUGUGAAAUUUCGGAGCUUAACUCCGAAACUGCCUUCGAUACUGCGGUGCUUGAGGACUGGAGAGGAGACUGGAAUUCAUGGUGUAGCAGUGAAAUGCGUAGAGAUCAUGAGGAAGACCAGUGGCGAAGGCGGGUCUCUGGACAGUUCCUGACACUGAGGCACGAAGGCCAGGGGAGCAAACGGG